rnacentral:rRNA from 1 species
CGAACGGGUGAGUAACACGUGAGUAACCUGCCCCAGACUCUGGGAUAAGCCUUGGAAACGAGGUCUAAUACCGGAUACGCAACUCCAUCGCAUGGUGAGGGUUGGGAAAGUUUUUCGGUCUGGGAUGGACUCGCGGCCUAUCAGCUUGUUGGUGAGGUAAUGGCUCACCAAGGCGACGACGGGUAGCCGGCCUGAGAGGGCGACCGGCCACACUGGAACUGAGACACGGUCCAGACUCCUACGGGAGGCAGCAGUGGGGAAUAUUGCACAAUGGGCGCAAGCCUGAUGCAGCGACGCCGCGUGGGGGAUGAAGGCCUUCGGGUUGUAAACCCCUUUCAGCAGGGAAGAAGCGAAAGUGACGUUACCUGCAGAAGAAGCGCCGGCUAACUACGUGCCAGCAGCCGCGGUAAUACGUAGGGCGCAAGCGUUGUCCGGAAUUAUUGGGCGUAAAGAGCUCGUAGGCGGUUCGUCGCGUCUGCUGUGAAAGCCCGAGGCUCAACCUCGGGUCUGCAGUGGGUACGGGCGGACUAGAGUGUGGUAGGGGAGACUGGAAUUCCUGGUGUAGCGGUGGAAUGCGCAGAUAUCAGGAGGAACACCAA